rnacentral:rRNA from 1 species
GAUGAACGCUGGCGGCGUGCCUAAUACAUGCAAGUCGAGCGAACGGACGAGAAGCUCGCUUCGCUGAUGUUAGCGGCGGACGGGUGAGUAACACGUGGAUAACCUACCUAUAAGACUGGGAUAACUUCGGGAAACCGGAGCUAAUACCGGAUAAUAUUUUGAACCGCAUGGUUCAAAAGUGAAAGACGGUCUUGCUGUCACUUCUAGAGGGAUCCGCGCUGCCUUAGCUAGUUGGGAAGGUAAAGGCUUACCAAGGCAACGAUGCAUAGCCGACCUGAGAGAGUGAUAGGCCACCCUGGAACUGAGACACGGUCCAGACUCCUACGGGAGGCAGCAGUAGGGAAUCUGCCGCAAUGGGCGAAAACCUGACGGAGCAACGCCGCGUGAGUGAUGACGGUCUUCGGAUCGUAAAACUCUGUUAUUAGGGAAGAACAUAUGUGUAAGUAACUGUGCACAUCUUGACGGUACCUAAUCAGAAAGCAACGGCUAACUACGUG